rnacentral:rRNA from 1 species
AUGGAAUUUGAGUCAAGUGAUGAAGAUUAUUCCUAUGAUGAAGAUGAGGAGGGACACAUUGUUAGAAGGAAGAGCAAAUACCCUAGAUUUGACCCUCAUACUGAUAUUCCACACUUUAGUUUGGCUAUGGUUUUCAAAAGCAAAAAUCAAUUUGUCAAAGCAAUUAAGAGAUAUGGUCUUGCUACAAAAAGAAGCAUCAAUUUCUUAAAGUCUGAGGAGGUGAAGGUCAGAGCCAAAUGUGGAUGUCCAGGGUGCCCAUGGCUUGUGUAUGGAGCAAAGACAAGCAGGUGUUCAAGGUUCCAAAUCAUUACAUAUGAGGAUGAGCACCAUUGUGCACAGAAUAGGGAAAAUAAGCUUGUUUCUGCAAAGGUUAUAGCACAAAGAUAUGAACAUUUCAUCCUUGCCAAUCCAAUG